rnacentral:rRNA from 1 species
UACGUAGGGUGCGAGCGUUAAUCGGAAUUACUGGGCGUAAAGCGUGCGCAGGCGGUUCGCCGUGUCCGAUGUGAAAGCCCCGGGCUCAACCUGGGAAUGGCAUUGGAAACUGGCUCGCUGGAGUGUGGCAGAGGGGGUGGAAUUCCGCGUGUAGCAGUGAAAUGCGUAGAGAUGCGGAGGAACACCGAUGGCGAAGGCAGCCCCCUGGGCUAACACUGACGCUCAGGCACGAAAGCGUGGGGAGCAAACAGG